UGGUCAAGUUAUUAAGGGUGCAGGGCGGAUGCCUUGGCACUAGGAGCCGAUGAAGGACG
rnacentral:rRNA from 1 species